GGGGAUGUAGCUUAAUGGUAGAGCACAUGCUUUGAAUGUAUGAGUCCCAAGGUUCUAUCCCUGAUAUCUCGA
rnacentral:tRNA from 1 species